rnacentral:rRNA from 1 species
CGUGUAGGCGGUUGGAAAAGUCAGGUGUGAAAUUUUUCGGCUCAACCGAGAGACUGCGCCUGAAACUUUCCGACUGGAGUUCGGGAGGGGCAACUGGAAUUCCUGGUGUAACGGUGAAAUGUGUAGAUAUCAGGAGGAACAUCGGUGGCGAAGGCGGGUUGCUGGACCGAAACUGACGCUGAGACGCGAAAGCGUGGGUAGCAAACA